rnacentral:rRNA from 1 species
ACUUUAUUUUUAAAAGUUUAUUUUAUAUUUAGUUUAUAUUUUAUAUAAUAGGUUUUAUAAAAUUUUGUUGGGGUGACAGAGGGAUUUUUCUAACUCCCUUAAUUUUUUAUUCAUUAAUUAAUGUGUUAUUGAUCCAAAAUUUUUGAUUAUUAGAUUAAGU